rnacentral:tRNA from 1 species
GUCCAGAUAGUUUAAAAAAAAUAGCAAGUUGUGGUCUUGCAGAUAUUGUUAUUCUAGACA